ACAACACGAAAAAGCCCAGUCCGAGGGCCAGCAUGAUGACGUCCAACAUUGAUUGCUCCUUGGCGGCGCGACGGCAUCAUCGAUGCCGACGCUCUCUCGGGCGUGUCUCAGCGCAUGUCCGAAGCGCGAGGAAAUCCCGCAGCUUCCGUGCCGGGAUGGAAUGGCAUCUGGGCCAUAGGGUUUCGAGAUGGGCGGGACCGCGACGUUAUAGGAAUCUUAUAAAGACGCCCGGGUUCCGACCCGCCGCUUGCCGACAGGGCACAGGGAAGCCGGCGUGC
rnacentral:misc_RNA from 1 species